GACGAACGCUGGCGGCGUGCUUAACACAUGCAAGUCGAACGGAAAGGCCUCUUUCGGGGGGUACUCGAGUGGCGAACGGGUGAGUAACACGUGAGUAACCUGCCCUUGACUUUGGGAUAACUUCAGGAAACUGGGGCUAAUACCGGAUAGGAGCUCCUGCUGCAUGGUGGGGGUUGGAAAGUUUCGGCGGUUGGGGAUGGACUCGCGGCUUAUCAGCUUGUUGGUGGGGUAGUGGCUUACCAAGGCUUUGACGGGUAGCCGGCCUGAGAGGGUGACCGGCAACAUUGGGACUGAGAUACGGCCCAGACUCCUACGGGAGGCAGCAGUGGGGAAUAUUGCACAAUGGGUGGAAGCCGGGUGCAGCAACGCCGUGUGCGGGAUGACGGCCUUCGGGUUGUAAACCGCUUUCGCUCAUGACGAAGCUUUGUGUGACGGUAGUGGGUAAAGAAGCACCGGCUAACUACGUG
rnacentral:rRNA from 1 species